GGGGCUGGGCUCGGAAUAGCAGUACUUUUCCACUUUGAUGCCUUAGAACUCUCACUUCUCAUCUCCACAGACCAGACUCAGUAAAAUCUCAGGCCACUAGAGAAUGGAAGGCGGUGAAACAGGAUUUAAAUGCAAAAAAAACCUAUUGGAGGCUUUUGGCACCGUGGCUCACUAGAGGGACCCAGCAUAGUAGAGGUUUCUCUUGUUGCAGCUUCUGAAAAGUUCAAAAAAGAACUCCAGGCCGUUCUUCCCUCAAACCCAGUGAGAGUUUGCAGAGAAGUGCCCCCUGCAGGGCUCCCGUCCCAGAACACCAGCACCAGAGAGGGUCUUCCCGAUGCCCCCCGCUGGACUUGCCCAAGCCUCUGGGAGCCCCUCAUCUCAGAUCCCUGUGUUGAACAUGACACUGACUGUCCCUUAUUUGUUAAAAUUUGCAAUAUCUCUCAAGUAAAUAAUAGCCAACAUUUGUUGAAUGCUUUCAUGACUCCCGGGCUAAGGCCUUUAUGAGCGUUGUCUCAAGGGGCCCCAACAGCCAUCCCACAGGGAGGGGGAUAACAGCCCCCAUUUAUAGAUAAGGGAGCUGACCGGAUGCUCUGAGAAGUGGCAGGUGUUGAAGGAAGGAUAAAGCAGUGAUGGGCCAGAAUCCCCAAGGUUCCCUUUUUUGUUCAUCAGGCCCUUCCUGAGAUGUGAUUUUUAAUCUUUUAACUUUUUUUAAUUAAUAGCAAUGCGUGGCCUCAUAUUUCUAUGAACCAUUUAGUGAUACUCCCGCUUCCUGCAUGCCACACACUGUGCUGGGAAUUGCUCAUGGGUUGUCCUGUUUCAUCUUCUCCGUAGCCCUGUGAGAUCGGCAAUAUUAGUCCCCCUACAGCCAAGGAAACUGCCCAGAGCCACACAACUCUUGAGGGGCGAGGAGGGCUUGAACCUGAGUCUGCCCAGCUCCAGAACUGAGCUUGCAGCCAUUAGCCACAGCUGUCUCCUGCAUGUCUGAGCAAAGAAAGGCCUUUACACAGCAUCACCCUGUGCCAUCCCAUGCACCGUGGGACUCAGCUAAAGGACUGUGCAAAGAGGGGGCUCCUGAGUUGGAUUUAGGCAAAAGGGGCAGAAUUCGUUUGAUUUUUAGAGAAAAUCUCUGGAGAGUUUCUUUUGAUUCAUAGAAUUCCUUUUAGAUUUCUUUCCAGCAUACCAACUAGCUUUAGUAGUGCUGCUACAACCAGCUCUUAUAAGUAAGAGUGAAAAAGUAUUCUUUUCUUCUUUAAAAAAUAAGUUUUUCUUGCUUAUAGUUAAUUCUAGAAAGGCAAUACUAAAGGUAUAUAUUUUUUUCAAAAUGCUAUUUUUUACUGCACUUGAUAAUUAUCCUGACAGCUCUGAUCUCUGUAAUAGAUUCACUCUUCAGCUCUGGGCAGAACCAGAGGCAGGGUUCACACCAAAUUUGUAAAUACCAUAUGUGGGUCUGGUGUCCAGGAACUUUUUUCUUUCUGUUAAAAAAAAGAAAAAAAAAAGAAAAAAAAAAAGAAGUAGAGGUGGAAGAAAGACAAGACUUAGAGGAACAAAAGAAUGUUUUCUUUUGAGAUACUCUUCUCAAAGAAAUAGCAACAAUUGUAUAAACAGGAAAACCAGCCAGCUUUCAUGAUAAAAGGAAGGCGUGUCUCUUGCCCUGGUAUGAGAUUAACAGAAAUACAGAUGCAUUUUUAUUUUGAUUGAAAGAUGGUGAGAAUGUAGAAAUGCUUAGGACUAGAUUUUUAAUUUUUUAAAAUAACUAUUAUCAUUUAUUAUGAAAUAUUUGUUCAGUUGUUUUGAGUGGGUUUCUUGUUCCUUUUUUCAUUUAAAACCUUCUUUGUUGACUGGCUCCAGGCUUGUUUGCCUAAAUUCUUAGGUAGUUUACACAAGUUCUAGAAUCUUUUAGAACUUUAACUCCAUUGGAAGCAAACCUAACUAAUCGGAGUUUGAGAUCCUGGUUGGUUUCAAUAGGUAUUCUGGAAUUCUGGCAGAACACCUAAAGAUUUUUUUUUUUUUUAGAAGGUUUUAGAUACAUUAUCUUACACAAACUGUGACCUAAUGGCAAUAAUUACCUCAAAUGUGGGCAUUCAUCCUGGUUUUAGCCUUUUUUGAAAUCAUGUAGCCAGCUUGAUCUUGGAAUUUAAAGACUAUGAAUUCUCUGUGGGCUGAAAAUAAUGAUUACUUCAUACCCCCGGUCAUCGUUGCUUAAGUGAAUUCUGAAAAUAGCUCAUCUUUACAACAAAAAUUAAACCAAGGAAGAGAUUAUUCUUUGUGUGUUGUACUCAAAUGCGAUGUUCAAAUGCACAUGUUAAGUAUAUAUGUUUUUAGCUACUGUAAAAUGCUGUUAGCCUUCUAAGCUAUCAAAACAGUCACAUUUUAAAUGAGUAAACUAAACAAUUGACUGUGGAUACUUAAGCAUAUUUCUGGCUACGUUUUAUAGUUAAAGUGUUUUAUAGUUUACAUUUAGACUGGUACUUUUUAAAGAAAAGUUCUGUUUAUAACUGACAUCCGCAAACCCCAGUGAAUGCCUCUUAGUUGGAGGUUGUGUCUCCCCCAAGGCAAGUGUGUUGUCCCAGACUCUUCUGUAGUCCAGCAUGCGCACUUCCCUCUGGAUUAUUACUUUCCACGUGAACUCAAGAGAACAUGAAAGGCAAUCCAGAUGGAGGGAAAAGGUGUGAGUCCGCAGCCCGGGCCAGAUGCGAAGGUCUCAUGCGUGUCGUCUAAACACUUGUCUUCAAGGCCUUCUCUCUGACAUCUUGGAAGAGUCAUUGAGAACAGAUAACCUGGUUCAUUGAUUUUUGUCUUGAUUUGAAUAUUUAACUUAUUAAUAGAUCCACUGAUUUCCAGGCACCAGGCAGUAGAAGAGACUGGGAUUCAGGUGACCAUGAAGGCACAGCUGCUACUUCUGGGCCGGGGGUGAUAUUUUGAUCAGCGUUUUGUAGGGGAGGACCAUAUACCCCUAUUCCCAUGGUCGCUGGCUGGGUUUUCCAUAUAUCUGCUGUCAUUUAUUCGUUUUCCCCUUAAAAGCAAAAUCAAUGUAAAAGGCUAUGUUUACGUUUUACUCAUUGUCCAGCUUAGACUCAAAGUCUAGUUCGGUGGGAGGGGGACCUUAGCAUCCUCUCAGAGAUGGUCAGGGCUGAGCAGGAGGAGGCAGAGACAGAGGGGCAGCUCAGCCUGGUCCAUUGAGACCCACUCUAAACAGACAUCAUAUUUGGAACAAGAAGAUGCUUCGAGACAGGAAUGGGCCCCACUGUCAUGCAGAAACAGACUGGGGGAAUGGCAGUUUCCCUGAGUCUUGGUUUCUUUUAUGUUUUCUCUUGUGCCACCACCAAACUGCAGAGGACCUGCUGUGACCUAAAGGGCAUUCCUUUAGCAGAUAAGACCUUGAAAACUGCAAAACACCUGGGACCAGGGAGCUUUUAAAAAAUACAAAAAAAUACCACAUUUGCUUUUUCCCUGUGAACUGUAUUGACAGCGUGUUCUUAGGACAGUCUUUUGGUGGAAAUGUUACUGUAAAAUAGUUUUCAUCUCACCCCUCCUAAUCAUACUCCCACUUUCCUGUUUGUGUGGUGGUGUUGCUGUUUUUUCCUUUACAUGAAUUAACCAAAUGAAUUUUGUGUCAUUGUUUUUGGGGCUUAUAUUUUUAAAACAUAGAAAUUGCCUUUUGUUCAUUUGAAAAGUAAGUAUGUUGUAUCUGAAAAAGGGCUCUGCCUCUGCUCUCCCUCGCUUCCUUGUAACCAAUCUCCAAACGAAUCUCUCCUGGCACCGCCCCCUUCCUUAUAUAGGGUCACUGUCCCCGGGGCCACCUCUGCCUCCACCCUGCUGUCACCACUGCCCUGGGCCAAGGCACCCAGGACUCCCAGAAAGCGCGAGAGCCAGCAAGAAGGCCCCACUCAGCCUUGAGACUGGUGGUCACACCUCCCUGUCAGAGUCGCCUGCUGGGCUGAAGGGGCAAUGGAUUGUCAUUGUUGAAAUUGUUUGGCUCAGGUUAUAAGGAGGAACUUGGGAAGUAGAAAGUGACUUGACCAUGUGCAUCCUUGGUAGCUUCCUGUAACUAACAAAUGGAACAGAGAGCACACCCCCGCCCCGCCCCACCCCAAGCAGAUGUUCCCGUCAGCGCUGCCCUGAGUCAGUCGGUCCCCCGUUUCUGCUCUCCUCCCUUUUGUGUUCCUGCUCACUUCAAGCUUCUUCCAUGGACUUUCCAGGGCACAGUCAUCUCUAGCCCCCAAAUCAUCUCUUCAUCCUCUGUGUGUGCAUUUUUUUAACCAAAUGAAAUAGACAAGAAAGUCAUACUUUGGGGCAGCAGAAUUUCUAAUUUAGUAGAAUCACUGUAUAGAGAUAGAUGUUGAUAUAUAUGUUUGUGUAUAUAUAUCAAACCAAAUUGGAUAGGAGAAGUAUAGCUUUACAGAUGAGGAGAAGGAGCUCUUUAGAGGUCGGAGUCAAGACUGGUGUCUUGGACGUGCAUGGGCUGUGUCCCAGGCCACUCCGCACACAUGGGGCUGAGGCGUGGCGCCGGGCCCUUGUCAUCCACCUCACCACGGCAGAGCCAGCAGGCCCUGUAGGGUGCUGCUGCUGUCUCACUGGGUCCCAGCUUCAAGCGCAUCAGUGGGUGACGGGGGCAACAAAUCAGAGUGACUGGAAGUUUCCAUCCCGUUUUGCUUUGACCACGUGUACUGAGCUGCAGCCUCUGAUACUCUGUCACGUUUCCAAAAAUGGUAUCCAUUAGGAUAGAAAGAGAAUGGAUCUGCAGAAAUGUUUACCUUUCAACUGCUCAUGAAUUCAGGACACUGGAUAGAAAGACUCACUCCCCAAAAUGAGAACAGGGAAGAGGAGACCCGGCGACACUAAGUCACCAGGUCCAAGGAACGUGGCUCCCUCCCCAGGGUCAUCUCACCUAGAUCUUUCUCUCCCAGGUCAUCUCAGCUCAAUCUCAAUAACCCUAUGAAAGCCCUGGUCUGUUGUGUUCCUUCACCGUACGGUUUCUGUAAUAAAAAGUGUUAAUCCAUGUUAAUCUGUGUGAAAAUUAUUGCGUGCAACAGUAUUUUCUCGUGUACCUCUUUUUCCUAUGUGAAUUGUCCCUCUUUUUUAUUUAUAAAUGUCUACUUUUGUUUUUUUAAAGACAAACCAAUGUGUUGUAGACCUAUAUGUAACCUAUUCCUUAGUCUCAUAUUAUAGGUAUGUUAUAAGAAUGGAUAUUUUACUUGGCUUUAGAAUGUUUUACAAGAAAACUAAUUCUUAACUGAUCAAGUCCUUGCUACUAAAAUGCUUGUGUUUUUCAUCAUGACGUCGUGUGCUUCUAAAUUAAUCAUUUUCGUUGUAGAAAAAUGGAGUGAAUUUAUAUUAGUCUUGGAAACUAAUAAUAGCAUUGUAAAUUUAUGAGAUGAUUUUAACAGAAAAAAUAUAGAAGAAUAUAGUUAUUUUAAUUGUAAUAUUACUAACUGUAGGGUGAGAAAAAGGGGGGGGGGUCCCAUUGUGGUGAACUAUGUUAUAGCUUGUUACUCAUAGUUUCUUUUUGAUCAUUUUUUCGGUCUCCGAGGUGAAAUGACUUAUUAAUUAAAAUUUGUAAACUCACAUAUGCAUAUUGUAUAUGUGUAGAAAUGUAAUCACACUUUGUCUUGGAAUUACAUUAAACUGUUUGAAAUCACUGUA
rnacentral:lncRNA from 1 species